GGGUGUGGGCGUGGGUGCAAAGUAGGCACCAUAUUAGGCACCAAUCCUUUCUCAUAUAGGAGUCCUUCUUUGAUAAGUUGUGGACUAAUUCAAAGCUUAUUUGAAUCAAAAGUCUAAUUUUUAUUUGGUCAUGAGAAUUAUCUAUAAAUUGAGAGGGUCUCUACCUAUAAUCCAUAGCAAUCAGAUUGUGAGAAAAGGAGAGAAAGAGAGAGA
rnacentral:lncRNA from 1 species